UCCAGAUGGGCCUGGAGAAGUUUCCACUUC
rnacentral:sRNA from 1 species